AGGUGAACCACACAAACGGUGAGAAGAGGUAGAAAGAAAGAGGGGGACAGCAACUGGAAGGAGAUGGAAGUCCAGACACUCUGCCACUGUGUGCCAUUGAACAAGAAAUCUCUCUUUGGAUAAGGGGGUCAAGCUUCUAGUAUGAAGAUUGUUCAAGAGUCAAGACUUUUGAAGACGUGACGCCAUGGACCUGGUUGCACCUGGCAAGGGAACUAUAUGACCAUGAUGACUGUUCACUGACUUAAGUAUUCUCUAAACGCUUUGUAAAAUUAACAAAAGUACUCAUUUUCAUUUUUCAAAGAUAAUAAUCAUUAUAUUGAUAUUGUGGAUACCUUUUUAUGAUUUUUAUCAUAAAAUUAUUAUAAUGAUAAUGAUGAUAAGUCAUAAUACAAAGGAACAAUAAGUAGAAAAGAAGGCGACAAAGAAGGAAGAGGAGAAGAAGAUUAUGAAGAAAUAGAAGAGGAGGGGUGGAAGAGGAAAAAAGGAGAAUAAGAAUAAAUUACAUCACUGUGAGUUCCUCUUCAUGAAAUCUUACAGAAAUCUUUCUCUUUUAAAUGGAAAUAUUUAUUAAGCAUACAAAUGCGAUAUAGUUAUUCAUGUUUUUUUUUUAAUGUAUUAUGUGUCAUGUUUGUAGUUGUACACUUGAUUUAGGUAUUGUAUUCAUUUAGGAUAUGAAUAAUAUAUUUCAUUUGAAUCGACACUGUAAAAAAAAAUAGUUGAAAUGACUGUAUAAAAUUGUGGCAAAAAAUUACUUAAAUUUUUUCCAGUAUUUAUGAGUUUGGCAGUUUUAAGUAAAAUUUACAUUUUUUUCUUUGCAUCCAUUUUUACUCAAGAAAAUUAAGUUACAAUAACUUAAUUCAAUUAAGUAAAACAAUCACUAAAAUAUUUGAAAAAAUCAAAUGGGGGAGUGGACUUUCGUGAUUAAAAAGUCCGCUCCCCCCAUCGUCCCACUUUUAGUGGCAUCAUUUUCAUCUUAGACAUCUUUUAUCCAAAUAUUAGACUUUGUGCAUUGUCACUUACCUGUACAUGUAUAGGUACUGACAGAUAUUUAUACGCGAUCGUUUCAUUCUUACAAAUAAAACAAUGAGAAUAAUAUAAGCAUUUUCCGAAAACCUAAAAAGAAAUCUGAAAUUUUCUGCUAAAUUUAAUGUUGCUCAAUCUUUAAUUCAACAAAAGAAUAAAAUGCACACCCUUAUCCAAAACAAUUUCAAACACAAAUAGAUAGGCCUAUGACAGUAAAAAUAAAAAUGACUUGCUCUAAUGAAUAUUCAUGCAUUAUUUCAAUAAGGCGUUAAUUGAAAAUAUAAGUACAUUCAACAUGAUUUUAUAAGUAAUAAUCAUCUUUGCCUAAUUAAGUUAGAUUCACUCAAUUGAAGCAAGCUAGCAGUACGUGAAUUUUCUUAAAUGUAUAUUGAACCCAAAUAAAUCAAGUAAAUUAAAAGACAAGUUGAAACUACUUUAAAAAAGCAAAAAAUAAUUAUGAAGUAUAAUUUUUUCUUAUAUUUUAUACAUUAAGUGUUAACAACUGAUUAAGAAAUAUUUUUGUAUGUGUAUGUACCUCUUUUAAUCAUGUUUAUACAGUCAUGAUUAAAGGACAUGGGACAGGUGAAAAGAUUAUAUUGUUUUACAAAUUUUGGUGUGUAUUUAUUUUAAAAGUAAUAAAUUUACACAAAAUGUCA